rnacentral:tRNA from 1 species
GCCCUGGAGGCAAAAAUAGUUAUAUUCUUGGCUGCUAACCAAAAGGCUGGUGGUUCAAAUCCACCCAGUGGCU